rnacentral:sRNA from 1 species
AGUGCGUCGGGAACGGACUGGAGCAAUCCGUCGCUUCUCACGGGGCCCCGCCCUCUUGCUUCCGAUUUGGAAUUCGGAAUUAGCCUUGCAGACUUCUCUUUUCUGUCCUCAUCGAAAAGACAGCCAGCUUUUGUAACCUUGCCUUGGGGAUGUUAGCAGGAUAAAUGUUGGCAAUUCAAGGCUCUUCUGGUUUUAUAAGAAAACCAGAUUUUGCUGGGAGGCCUGGAGUAGAAGAGAGGGCCUUGGAGAAGCAAACAUGGGAGGAGAGACAUUCCCAGAGAUCAGGAAGAGGAGAUAUUUGGCUAUCGGACUCAAGGCUGCCGGAAAAGUCUCUGCCUUGCCGGAUCCAUCUUCUCAUUUGGAAUCCUCCCCUUGGUGUUUUACUGGAGACCAGCAUGGCACGUAUGGGCACAUUGUGUCCCAUGUUCCUUGCAAGAAGCAGACACUGUGUUGCUGAGGACAACGGAUGAAUUCCAAAUUUACUCUUGGAAAAAGGUAAUAUGGAUCUACCUAUCAGCAUUAAACAGCGCAUUUGGUCUCACUCCUGACCACCCUCUCAU